UACGAAGGGGGCUAGCGUUGUUCGGAAUUACUGGGCGUAAAGCGUGCGCAGGCGGCUUCUCAAGUCAGGGGUGAAAGCCCAGAGCUCAACUCUGGAAUUGCCUUUGAGACUGAGUGGCUUGAGUACGAGAGAGAUGAGUGGAAUUCCCAGUGUAGAGGUGAAAUUCGUAGAUAUUGGGAAGAACACCGGUGGCGAAGGCGGCUCACUGGCUCGUAACUGACGCUCAUGCACGACAGCGUGGGGAUCAAACAGG
rnacentral:rRNA from 1 species